rnacentral:miRNA from 1 species
CGACGCCAUGUUUGGUCUCAUCU